AUUAAGACUGACUCCAACCUCCAUUAUAAUAUCUAGGAAUUUCAUGAACCGGAGCAUUGGACGACGCACCGUGCUUCAGGUUUCUCAGACGUACACAGAAUCUUGGGCCCUGAAAGGUGAAUUAGCAUUGCUCUUCAAAACCAAAAAAAGAUUGGGUCUGAUCGUUCCAUCAGCAGCUCAUCUGAUCAUCGUCGUGCCUUGUUAAUAUCCGGCGUGAAGCUUUGAAAGUCCAGCACACUUAAACACAAUUUAAAAUAAACACGGCGUAAAUGUGAAGCAAAAAACGACAACUCCGAGGUAAUAACGGUAAAGAUCAGCAGGAUAUAGCACAGGCUGAAGGUCGGGAGAUAAGCAAGGCUACUGUUCCUGACUGCUCCUGGUUUAAGCCACUAAUCCACUUAUUCCUGAAACAGCAUGAGAAAGUCACCGAGCACAAAGAACCAGGACUGAUCCUAACCAUUUAUAUUCUUAUUACAUUUUGCUUUAAACUGCUAUUAAACCUGCUAAUGCUCUACAAACAGUAUUUACUGCAGUAAAUAACCUUGACAAAAAAAUGUAUUAACCUUAUUCUGGAUUCCGAUUGGUCAGAAGUUGUUGAUUAAUUCCCUUUAACAGCAUCUCUGGCAUUAGUCUCUAUAGCAACAGCACAUUCACAGGGACUUGUGCGGCGGACGCUUCAUAUCUCUUCAUAUCACAAUCCACGACUUUCUACUUUUCUCUAAAUGCUACUAGUUUAUUUGUGAAAAUGUGUGUGUGUGUGUGUGUGUGUGUGGUUUUUUUUCAACACUACAGGUUUCAGUAACUCGGAGUGAUCACAUGACACCACAAUAAUGACACACACUGACAGAAUAUAAUAUAUAUCUUUUAUUAAAAUCUGACUUCGUCAAGUCACAUAAUAAUCCAGCAAAGAUAUUCUUCAAUCGUCACGCGGUUAUUCAUUUGUGUUAAAAAUGUUCUACAUGAUAAACAACUGGCCCUCUGACAUCCAGCAUUUUAGGAGAGUACAGCAUACAGAAUUUCAAGGUUAAAAUUCAUGUUUCAGGUGUGAAAACAUUAAA